rnacentral:tRNA from 1 species
GCCUUCGUGGUGUAGGUGGUCAGCACGCUCGACGCUUAUUUCCAGAGGUCUGUGGUUCGAGUCCCAGCUAGGGCA